UCUUACGGAUUAGCAAAGAAAGUCAUUUUCUUGAGAUGGAAUUAACUCUUGGUGAAGAUACUGUGAA
rnacentral:pre_miRNA from 3 species